rnacentral:rRNA from 1 species
UACAGAGGGGGCAAGCGUUAUUCGGAAUUAUUGGGCGUAAAGGGCGCGUAGGCGGCUUGGCAAGUGGAUGGUGAAAUCCCUCGGCUUAACCGAGGAACUGCCAUCCAGACUGCUUCGCUUGAGACCGGGAGAGGUGAGUGGAAUUCCCAGUGUAGCGGUGAAAUGCGUAGAUAUUGGGAGGAACACCAGUGGCGAAGGCGGCUCACUGGACCGGUACUGACGCUGAGGCGCGAAAGCGUGGGGAGCAAACAGG